AGAGUUUGAUCCUGGCUCAGGAUGAACGCUGGCGGCGUGCCUAACACAUGCAAGUCGAGCGAGAAAUUAAUUAAUGAAUCUUCGGAAGAAUUGAUUAAUGGAAAGCGGCGGACGGGUGAGUAACGCGUGGGCAACCUGCCUUUCACAGAGGGAUAGCCAAAGGAAACUUUGAUUAAAACCUCAUAAAGCCGGAAUAGUGCAUAAUAUACCGGCCAAAGAUUUAUCGGUGAAAGAUGGGCCCGCGUCUGAUUAGCUAGUUGGUGGGGUAACGGCUCACCAAGGCGACGAUCAGUAGCCGACCUGAGAGGGUGAUCGGCCACAUUGGAACUGAGACACGGUCCAAACUCCUACGGGAGGCAGCAGUGGGGAAUAUUGCACAAUGGGCGCAAGCCUGAUGCAGCAACGCCGCGUGAACGAAGAAGGCCUUCGGGUCGUAAAGUUCUGUCCAAAGGGAAGAAAGAAAUGACGGUACCUAUGGAGGAAGCCCCGGCUAAAUACGUGCCAGCAGCCGCGGUAAUACGUAUGGGGCAAGCGUUAUCCGGAAUUAUUGGGCGUAAAGAGUGCGUAGGUGGUGGCUUAAGCGCAGGGUUUAAGGCAAUGGCUUAACUAUUGUUCGCCUUGCGAACUGGGUCACUUGAGUACAGGAGAGGAAAGCGGAAUUCCUAGUGUAGCGGUGAAAUGCAUAGAUAUUAGGAGGAACACCGGUGGCGAAGGCGGCUUUCUGGACUGCAACUGACACUGAGGCACGAAAGCGUGGGUAGCAAACAGGAUUAGAUACCCUGGUAGUCCACGCCGUAAACGAUGAGUGCUAGGUGUCGGUAUAAAUCGGUGCCGCAGUUAACACAAUAAGCACUCCGCCUGGGGAGUACGUGCGCAAGCAUGAAACUCAAAGGAAUUGACGGGGACCCGCACAAGCAGCGGAGCAUGUGGUUUAAUUCGAAGCAACGCGAAGAACCUUACCAGGACUUGACAUCCCUCUGACAGGAACUUAAUCGUUUUUUUCUACGGACAGAGGAGACAGGUGGUGCAUGGUUGUCGUCAGCUCGUGUCGUGAGAUGUUGGGUUAAGUCCCGCAACGAGCGCAACCCUUAUCUUUAGUUGCCAGCAUUUCGGAUGGGAACUCUAAAGAGACUGCCGAUGACAAAUCGGAGGAAGGUGGGGAUGACGUCAAAUCAUCAUGCCCUUUAUGUCCUGGGCUACA
rnacentral:rRNA from 1 species